UGUAAAGUUCAAGCUCCGAUUUUGUAAUAGAGAGCGAAACCGCGAAUGGCUCAUUAAACCAGUCUGAAUCUACUUGGCUUCCAAAAGUUAGACGGAUAACUGUGGUAAUUCUAGAGCUAAUACGUGCCAAAGAAGGGGCGACUCUGCUAGCAAUAGCUGGAGAAGCUCUGCGUUUAUUAGUUUAAGACCAAUGGGUAUAUGUUUAUACCCUUUUGUCAAGAUGACUCUGAAUAAAUAGCGGGUGAGAACCUGUGUUGCAGAUCUGGCAUAUAGCGGCCUCCGCCGUGCCAGACAAGCCAAUCGAGUGUCUGAUCUAUCAACUGUGGAUGGUAGGAUAAUGGCCUACCAUGGUAGUGACGGGUAACGGGGAGUUAGGGCUCGACUCCGGAGAACAAGCCUGAGAAACGGCUAGUAGGACUAAGGUCUGCAGCAGGCGCGAAACUUACACAAUGCUAGAUUUCUUGAAAAUAUUUCAAUAACCUAGCGAUGUAGUGAAGAAAAAUAACGAUGUACUUCCUUAAACAAGGUGGUACAAUUGGAAUGAGACGACUUUAAACCAGUUAGUCGAGUAACAAAUGGAGGGCAAGUCUGGUGCCAGCAGCCGCGGUAAUUCCAGCUCCAUUAGCAUACAUUAAAGUUGUUGCGGUUAAAAAGCUCGUAGUUGAAUGUUUGGUGGAUUAAUUUGUGAUUCUUGGUAACUUAUAGUUCCAAUGCAAUUCGUUAAUUCACAGUUUCGUCACUUAAUUGAGUGCGAAGCGGGGUUGCAAACACAAUAUAUUGUCAUUGUAUUUUCAGCCGCCUUUACCUUGAGAAAAUUAGAGUGCUCAGAGCAGGCAGUUGGAUGUAAAAAAUCCUUAACGCUUGAAUAAUGUUGCAUGGAAUAAUAGAACACGGCCUCGGUUCUAUUCUGUUGGUCUUAUAGAACAACAAACAGGUGGGCAUCAAUGGUCAGUUUUAAGCUAUAGGUUUUGCCUUAGGCCAAAAUCUAAGCUGCAACUAUAAAUAGCUUUCUACUGGCUAACCCACCGGGGCGAUGGUUAAAAGAAAUAGUCGCGGCGGCAUCAGUACUGCAUCGUGAGAGGUGAAAUUCUUAGACCGAUGCAAGACUAACUGAAGCGAAAGCGUUUGCCGAGGAUAUUUUCAUUAAUCAAGAACGAAAGUUAGAGGUUCGAAGGCGAUCAGAUACCGCCCUAGUUCUAACCAUAAACGUUGCCAACUAGCAAUUGGGUUGCGGUUCCUUUGAGUUUACUAGUUGAGGCCUAAAAGCCCCAGCUAACAAAACUCUCUAUGACCCACCCAGCGGCUCUCGUAGGGAAACCAAAGUGUUUGGGUUCCGGGGGAAGUAUGAUUGCAAAGUUGAAACUUAAAGGAAUUGACGGAAGGGCACCACCAGGAGUGGAGCCUGCGGCUUAAUUUGACUCAACACGGGGAAACUUACUAGAUUAAAACUCUGCUAUGAUUGACAGAUUGAUGGCUCUUUCUUGAUUCAGAGGAUGGUGGUGCAUGGCCGUUCUUGAUUCGUAUUCCGAAACGUCUGCUUAAUUGCGAUAACGAGUGAGACCUCAACCAACUAACUAGUCGUUUAGUGCGUUUGGUGGAUCAAUGGUUGCUGGAUUCAAUUGUCGGAGGGCCUUAAAACUCGAUGACAAACUUCUAGAUAACUACCGCUUCCUCGCUAACGGACUUCUUAGAGGUAUAAACGGUGUUUUAGCCGUAAGAAACGAGGCAAUAACAGGUCUGUGAUGCCCUUAGAUAUUCUAGGCCGCACGCGUGCUACAAUGGCCCGUGCAAAAAGCUUGUUCGAGGUCUCUCUAGAGAGAACUGGUAGAUAGGCUUGUGUUAGGCAGCAAUGUUUGGCAUGGGACUCCUGCAAAGUGCCUUUGGUUUGUAGGCCGAGAGAAACCGCAGCUGAAAAGUUGUGGCAAUCAUAAAUACGGGCCGUGAUUUGGGAUUGGGGAUUGCAAUUGUUGCCCAUGAACGAGGAAUUCCCAGUAAGCGCAAUUCAUCAUAUUGCGUUGAUUACGUCCCUGCCCUUUGUACACACCGCCCGUCGCUACUACCGAUUGGAAGUUUUAGUGAGGCAUUUGGACCUGCUUUCUAAAGAUUGGCAACAAUUUUAAGCGAGCGGGCAAGUCUGUCGAACUCAAAUUUCUAGAGGAAGUAAAAGUCGUAACAAGGUUUCCGU
rnacentral:rRNA from 1 species